rnacentral:rRNA from 1 species
GUGAGGAAUUUUCCGCAAUGGGCGAAAGCCUGACGGAGCAAUGCCGCGUGAAGGAUGAAGGCCUAUGGGUUGUAAACUUCUUUUCUCAGAAAAGAAUUAUGACGGUAUCUGAGGAAUAAGCAUCGGCUAACUCUGUGCCAGCAGCCGCGGUAAGACAGAGGAUGCAAGCGUUAUCCGGAAUGAUUGGGCGUAAAGCGUGUGUAGGUUGUUUAAAAAGUAUUCUGUCAAAGAUUAGGGCUUAACCCUAGAUAGGCAGAAUAAACUUUUAAGCUAGAGUUUGGUAGAGGCAGAGGGAAUUACCGGUGGAGCGGUGAAAUGCGUAGAUAUCGGGAGGAACACCAAAUGCGAAGGCACUCUGCUGGGCCAAUACUAACACUGAGAGACGAAAGCGAGGGGAGCAAAUGGGAUUAGAAACCCUGGUAGUCC